AUGGAGACCCAGUCUCCAGCAGCUGUAGCAAUUUCCCAAACAAAGAGAGUCACUAUCACUUGCAGGGCCAGCUCAAGUGUAAAUACCAGCUAUUUGCACUGGACCCAACAGAAGCCAGAAACCCUUCCAAAGCUCCUUGUAUAUAACACAUCAAAUCUGGCCUCCAGGUUCAGUGGCAGUGGGUCUGGAACAUGUUACACUCUGACAGUCAGCAGCGUGGAGGCUGAAGAUGCUGCAGACUAUUACUGUCAGCUGUGAAGCAGCUUUCCACCCAUGCAGAGUGUAACAGAUUGGAACAAAAACCUCUUCAGCUCUUGA